CUAAACAGGUGUGUUGUGCAGGUGGGAAAUGUGUGCCUCGAAAAACAAGUUAAAUGUUGCCCUAAUGCUAACAACCAGAUACCACCGAGAGUUAAAGCAUGGCCACGGCGAAAUGUGUGGGUGCCUGUGUGCCUUUAUUUGUUCUCGGAAUCAUUUUCGACAUCGUCGGUUUGACAGUUUUACUGGUGGGAAUUUUUGGAAAUUUGCGUCUUGACGGGAGGUUUUAUGGAGACUUUUUAAUAUACACUGGCGCAAUCAUCGUCUUCCUCAGUUUGAUUUGGUGGAUAAUGUGGUACGCGGGAAACAUCAAAGACACAUCUAUGGACUCUGACAAGAGCAGUCUGGACAGUUUCACACAAUGGGCUAGAAAGUUAUCCCAGAGGCUUUCGAAGAGUGGAAUUAAAACUUUGGAGGCAGGAGAGAAAUGCAUUGGCAAGACGACCAACGGAGUUGUAUCGAUUCAUGCUCCAACAAAAAUAAGCUGGGAGAGUCCAACAGUCCAUGGAUACGAUAACCAAGGAUAUGAUCGAAGUCUUGACACUCCAGUGCAAAAAAAUUUGGAACUGGGUACUUUCAAGAAUUCCGGAGAUUUGAUGCAGAUAAAUGAAGAUGGGAGAGUCGAACGACUUCUCUAGCCUUCGUGGUCACUGGUUCUCUUGCACACCAGCACUUAGAAGACUGAAGAUGGCAAAUCAAUGUUCUUAAUCUCUUUUCUUAAUCUCUUUUCUCUUUGGAUGGGUCUUAUGCAGAAAAUCACUACUUUCAUUUCAGAAAGAUCUUGCACAUUUCAGUGUAUAUUAUGGACAUUUAAUUUGAACAUUUUAAUUAUUAUUUUAAUUAUGUAUUUUAUGUGUGUUAAUAAACAAAAUAUUUUUUAUAAAAGGA